rnacentral:tRNA from 1 species
GCGGAAUUCCUGGUUGAAUGGCGGCUUGCCAAGGCGAAGGUCGCCGGUUCGAACCCGGUGUUCCGCUCCA